rnacentral:rRNA from 1 species
GACAGAGGGGGCAAGCGUUGCUCGGAAUUACUGGGCGUAAAGGGCGCGUAGGCGGGAUGGCAAGUCGGUCGUGAAAUCCCUCGGCUCAACCGAGGAACGUCGAUCGAUACUGCUGUUCUUGAGGAUUGCAGAGGAGACUGGAAUUCCGGUGUAGCGGUGAAAUGUGUAGAGAUCGGGAGGAACACCGGUGGCGAAGGCGGGUCUCUGGGCAAUUCCUGACGCUGAAGGCGCGGAAAGCGUGGGGAGCAAACAGG